GCGCCCGUAGCUCAGAUGGAUAGAGUACCGCCCUCCGAAGGCGGGGGUCACAGGUUCGACUCCUGUCGGGCGCACCA
rnacentral:tRNA from 1 species